rnacentral:rRNA from 1 species
GUAGGGAAUAUUGGUCAAUGGGGGCAACCCUGAACCAGCCAUGCCGCGUGUAGGAUGAAGGCGUUAUGCGUUGUAAACUACUUUUGAUUGGGAACAAAUGACAUCUGCGGAUGUAGCUGAGUGUACCAAUAGAAUAAGCCACGGCUAACUACGUGCCAGCAGCCGCGGUAAUACGUAGGUGGCAAGCGUUGUCCGGAUUUAUUGGGUUUAAAGGGUGCGUAGGCGGCUUAAUAAGUCAGUGGUGAAAGCCGGUAGCUUAACUAUCGAAAUGCCAUUGAUACUGCUAGGCUUGAGUACAGUUGAGGUAGGCGGAAUUGACAGUGUAGCGGUGAAAUGCUUAGAUAUUGUCAAGAACACCAAUUGCGAAGGCAGCUUACUAAAGUGUAACUGACGCUGAGGCACGAAAGUGCGGGGAUCAAACAGGAUUAGAAACCCGAGUAGUCC